AGUCAGUUAACAAAUUGUUUCAAGGAGCUGAUCUGCAAUAGGUUAGCUGGAGUACAAGGCAAACUCCGUGCCAUCUGUAGCUGCUAGAUUGGAGAUCUGCCACAAUAUAUAAUCCCAGAUUAAAAGCUGUGAUUCUCGCAUAGUGGUUUAAUUUCACGUAUCAAACUACCCCUGGACGUGACUGACACCCAGCUAACACCACUCGCCAGGCGAACCAAUUCCUGUACUCUUAACCUUUUAUAUAAGCACCGAGAGAAACACGUACAAGUCCAAAUGCAUUAAGUAUCACUAAAUACGAAGUAAUUAUCCAACUAAAACCAUAAUUUAUUUAUAAAUUCUAACGAGCACUCAAACAAUGAAUCUCUAACCCAAAUUUCAUACUAAGACCAUGAAGCAUCUAACAGAGUAAUAGAAGUUUGACUGACGGGCAUGCAAACUCGAAAGAAAUAAUAAACAUAAGAUAGGUAGAGCUGAAAUAGCGGCCUCCACGAACAAUGAGGUGGCUCACCUCAGCAACAGAAUCCACUCAACGAACUCGUUAGCCACUAGCCUCAUCCUCAGCAACAGUAUGUGCAUAGACAUGCAGGUAAGGAGUGAGUUAUACGUAAAUAUAACCUAGUAAGAUCCUUGACCCGUCGCUCUGAAUACCUCUGGAACAAGUGUUAGAAAAGACAAACACACAAUGAGCACCCAAAUAAUAUGCACAGAAAUUCUUUUAUCAUAUAAUUACUCUAUAAGGUCCAAACAAUUUUUCAACAGCAAUACUAUAUAUAUCUCAACACAAUCUACACUAAGGACUUGUCAUUAACGGCAGUGUAGGAAAUUAACCAAACACCCCAACGAGUCCACGACAGCAUGCACAAUGCCCCAAAUUUAUCACGGCGGCAUACACAAUGCCCCAAAUAUAUAACGGCGGCAUACACAAUGCCCCAAAUCUAUCACAGCGGCAUAUACAAUGCCUCAAACAUAUAGCGGCGACAUACACAAUACCCCGAAUCUAUCACGACGGCAUACACAAUGCCCCAAAUAUAUAGCAGCAGCAUACACAAUGCCCCAAAUAUAUUACGGCCGCGAAGAAAUAAUUUCUAACGCUCCAACGCCAUAGCACGAGGCUACGCCACAUCACACUACACCACAAAUCACUAAUUAAAUAAUUUCAGCCUUUUACAAAAUAAUAUAUAUUUGCGGCUGGCCAAGGACCACCGAUUGUGCCAAGCGCACGCUCGUCCCAACACAUGGACCAGGCAGAGGAAAAAAUAUACUUUCAAAACGGGUUUUAGAAAAGCAAGUAUCAAAGCUUAAAGUCUCACUUACCUCGCUAUUGGGAGUUUCCCACCCUUGUAACGUCUAGUACACCAACCAAACAGCCUCCAAUGACCUCAAUCUAUCCAAAAUAUUGAAUAACACACCCUAAUUAAUCUAAGUGAAUAAUUUUCAUAAUCUUAGAACGAGUCAAAGUUAAAGGUAACCCCGAGUCCAAUAAAUAAAAUCUAUACACUAUUAAGUAUUAAACAAAGCACUUUAACAGUGCAAAGCAAAUCGGCACAACAAUGACUUCAGAAACAUCACAUUAACUUAUACUCCAGUUCUUCAAAAUAUUAAUAACUAGUUUACUUGCCCGCGCUUUGCGCGGUCAUAAAAAGUAUUUAAUAUGAAACAAUAGUAAUGUUAUAAUAUUCAAAUAUAAUUUUUUGUUUGAGAAAGAGUAUGUGAGAUAUCAGGUUAAAUGAAAAAACUAUGUAAAUCAGGAUAUGUGAACUUGAAUAAGAAAAAAAAUAAUGUAUCCUCUAUUCCUUUUUCUCCUAUUUCUUUUCAACCUAGUCUAUUGAUCUCAGUCCAUCACAACAUAUUGCAUUAAAACUGUAGUCGGCUUCUUCUUCAAAACCAAAUGUAGACCUCUCCAACCAGCUUUGUUUCACACCAUUCGAAUACCCAUAAACAUAAGAAGAACACAACCGCCAUUUAUGAGGAUGCUUUAUGGCCAGUCUUCCGCUACAUUACGUGUCGCAAUAGGACUGUAUCUAUUGAGAUGCUUUAUACUCUAGUUUCAAGUGUUUAAAUCGUGUCAAAAACUGUUAUCAGGGAGAGAAAAAAGUGUACUUGAACAAUGUUUUGCUCAGUAGAACUUCCUUGGGCAUCUAGUCAACCGACGCAUUUUCGGGCGUUUUAAUACAGGGAAAUAUUCUUUAAUCUAAUAGACUUCCGAACUUUCAAACAAAUUGCAAAAUGGAAACGACUCUAUUGGACUUUACUAAUGAAAGAAAACGGCUGAUUGUUUAAUUUUAAUUUUUUUAUUUAUUCAAAUUAAAAAAACUAAAUAAAAAAAGGAUGAGGUGAGUGGACAGAAAAUGAGGAAAAAAACAGAGAAUCUAAACACACUUAAAUAUUAGUAUAACCAACAUUGUUAGCAUAUUAGCGAAUUUAAAAAAUUAUUUAUUAGCAUGCCAAAAAUAAAAAUAUAGAUAAAAGAAAUUUCUAUGAAAAAGAAGAUGUGCAGAAUAUGCCAGAAUCUAAAGAAUUAACUCAUUCUGAAUAAGCUAUUCAUUCCUGGCAAGAAUAUGUACAUUAACAAAUGAAGCAAAUCUGCAGAAGCUGAUCGGCUUAGAUCUCUGAGAAGAAUACUCCUCUAUCAAAUAUAAGUAAAUUGAUAUAUGUAAUAUCUUUCAAUAUUCUAGAAUGGGAAUUGUUCUAAUUGAUUUAGUACCUUUUAUAGAGUUCCUGCCCUUCUUAGGCCAGCCAGACUAUUGCAGGUCAUCCUCUCUCUUUAAACUGAAGUGGAGGUUUCAAUAAAACUACUGGUCCUUCUACUUUUUUAUAUAUUGCUAGUAAGAAAUUCUCAAUACAAAAAAUAAGGGAGGGCAUAAAUCUGACCUUAUUAGUAGUAAAAUACAAGACUAAAAAGUCCUACUUACCACCACUUUGCUACAACAAAAUAGUAUAAAGGCAUGAAAAGAAAGAAAUAAACAGCAUUCCUUUACGAAUGAAACGGGCAUAGAAAAAUCUCUUGGAUAAACAAAAUCUAAAUCUGAAGUUCAGUAAAUAUCCAUUACAAUAAUACAAUUUAGAUCACCCCAAUUCAAUUUAAGCUCAAGAAACUGGGAAAAAUAAAUGCCAAAAAUAGAUUGAACUUCAUAAAGCAGAAAAUUUGACUUCUUUACAACUUCAAUUUUCUUCGUUUCUUCUUGAGUACCGAUGGCUGCAAGAACUCAAUUUUGAGACACUGCAGAACAUGUCUCACCUUUCUUCCAAACCCCCUGAUGCUUUGCCUUCUAUCAAACAUUUAUCCUUUCGGAAUAUGAAAAGUUGGAACAAUAACAGUCAUUCUUGGAACCAUUUUAUUUCAUUAAUGUACUCAUCGUAGUGUGGCAUUUGCUUAAGUAUUUGUAUCAUAGACAAUGUAUUUACUGAAUAAGAUCGGCAUGGGAGAGCCAUAAAUCAUCACUAAGAGCUUCUCCAGAGUAAAAACAAUAUGUCAAACAACAGAAAAGAUAAGAUCAUCAAUCAUAUCUAUAGACAAGCAUCAACAAAAUCAGUACAUCUCAAAAGAACAAAUAAGUUUUAGAACUAUCGUUAAUUACUUUAACAUAAACAGCAUAAAAGACACAAUAAAUCAACUACUUCUUAAGUUAAAUCAAAUAGUUUUGUAGCAAUUCUUUAAGAUUAUAUCUUGGCAAGGAACUAUUCAAAAGUGAAAGAAAAUAACGAAUGAAAAAUCCCUACAGGCCAAAAUUAUAGAGAGAUUAGAAAGAAUGUAUCACAAACGUAAAGAAUACCUUGCCGAAGAAUCCGUGCGUAAUCAGAGAUUUCCUUUCGUUAUUAUUUGUUUUUUCACUAUAGUACCAAACAGUAAGGACAUGUAGAAAACCAAUGUGUUCAUUCUGAAAUUUUAAUCUUCAAACCUAUGUGUUCAUUCUUGAAUUUUAAUCUGCAAAAGAGAAGCAUAUUGGUCGGUGUAUGAACCGAAGCCUUUAUGAUUGGAAGAUUAUGAAUGGAAGAUAGGAAAAUUUCAAUCUACAGAAGAUAUCAAAAUCCUUUUAUGGAUGGAAGAUUUGGAGGUUACAAACUGGCUAGAGGAAAAAAGAAGAAGAAGAGAAGGAGGCUAAUUAAGAAACAUGACCUUUGAAAGGCAAAAUAUUAGGAAAACAGAGACGUAUGAUUCGUAAAGUUGGCGGCUAUCAAAGAGACGUGUCAUUUGGAAUUUUUCAAGAACUUAAAAUGAAGGGAAAAUGAGGAAAAAGGCAAAAAAAUAGGAAAAAUAAAUAAAUAUAAUUCCUAAGUUAUGAGAGGUGCAUGUGGCCCUACUUUAUACAUAUAUAUAAAUAUUAUUUUCUUAUGAAUGCUUCCUAUCACGGCAUAAUGAGUUAUAUCUCCUAAUUAAAGAUAUGCGAAAGUAACUGAAUAAGAUUUUUCAAACGAACUCCUAAAUUGCAUCCAUAUAUGAAUAUUACUAAAUUAUUUAUGUCAUCAUUGACAUAAUCAUUACCCCAGUCAUUACUUAACUAUUACUUCCGCUAAUUGGCUAACAAUUUUCUAGAUAAUUAAAGAAGCAGAUUGUAGUAUGCAAGGAAAAUUAAUUCUACGUUUCAGUAUAAUAUCUGAAUUCUCAUAUUAUCUUGUUUAACUCCACUACUAUUCAAUUACUAUCAAAUUAUAUUGUCUUCCGUUAUCA
rnacentral:lncRNA from 1 species